rnacentral:rRNA from 1 species
CGGCAUUACUGGGCGUAAAGCGUGCGCAGGCGGAUUGUUAAGCAAGACGUGAAAUCCCCGGGCUUAACCUGGGAAUGGCAUUUUGAACUGGCAGUCUAGAGUGCGUCAGAGGGGGGUGGAAUUCCACGUGUAGCAGUGAAAUGCGUAGAGAUGUGGAGGAACACCAAUGGCGAAGGCAGCCCCCUGGGAUGACACUGACGCUCAUGUACGAAAGCGUGGGUAGCAAACAGGAUUAGAUACCCUGGUAGUCCACGCCCUAAACGAUGUCAACUGGUUGUUGGGGGAGUGAAAUCCCUUAGUAACGAAGCUAACGCGUGAAGUUGACCGCCUGGGGAGUACGGUCGCAAGAUUAAAACUCAAAGGAAUUGACGGGGACCCGCACAAGCGGUGGAUGAUGUGGAUUAAUUCGAUGCAACGCGAAAAACCUUACCUACCCUUGACAUGUCCGGAAUCCUGCAGAGAUGCGGGAGUGCUCGAAAGAGAGCCGUAACACAGGUGCUGCAUGGCUGUCGUCAGCUCGUGUCGUGAGAUGUUGGGUUAAGUCCCGCAACGAGCGCAACCCUUGCCAUUAGUUGCUACGAAAGGGCACUCUAAUGGGACUGCCGGUGACAAACCGGAGGAAGGUGGGGAUGACGUCAAGUCCUCAUGGCCCUUAUAGGUGGGGCUACACACGUCAUACAACGGCUGGUACAGAGGGUUGCCAACCCGCGAGGGGGAGCCAAUCCCAUAAAGCCAGUCGUAGUCCGGAUCGCAGUCUGCAACUCGACUGCGUGAAAGUCGGAAUCGCUAGUAAUCGCGGAUCAGAAUGUCGCGGUGAAUACGUUCCCGG